AUGAUUAUUGCACAUUCAUUUGUUGUAAAAAAAAAAAAAACAAAUAGAGUUUUAAUGCAGUCACCAUGGCUGACUGUCUCCUCCAUCUUGCAGCCUCCUGUUUUGCUGCCUCAGGAUUCAGCUUCCACGGGCAAGGAGGGCUGUGGCGAAUGCUCCAAGGGCCUACCAGGUGUGCCCGGCGUGGUUGGUGCUAAGGGCGAGAAGGGAGAUCAGGGCAAGCCUGGCGUUGAACACUUAGAUAGAUGCGAACGGUGUUUAGAGAAGCUGCAGAGAGAAGAAACACCAAGUAGGCCUACGAGUAACAGUGGUCAGUGUGUUGGUGCACCAGGGAUGCCCGGAUUCCCAGGGACCGCAGGGGUCAAAGGAGAGCCGGGUCCUAGAGGUGAGCGAGGACCUCCUGGUCUUCCUGGAACCCCAGUAAGUUUCUACUUUGCCAGUUUUUUUCCAGAUUGUCUCCUAAAAGGUCAUUUCUGGCAGGAUUGUCUUUUUAGCCCUCUUUUCUUAGAAACUGAGACAGAGUGACCCCAGAUGGCUUUCAGAGUGCAGUCCGUAUCAUAUAGAGACAAACUAAUGUUUGGCACUUUUUACAGAACUGCAGCAAACAGAGAACUGUUCUGCAUGACUUUAUUUAGUCACUAGUAUUUAAUCCCACAAAUGCAGUCUGUGUUUGCACUUUCUUUUAGGUUCAGUGUUUUCAGUUAGAAUGAACCAAGAAGGGAGAAGAGUAAAUUACUCUUUGCUGUGAGGUUAGAGAGGCCUCUACAGGUUUGCCCCAGAAUUGCAGAAUGCUUUCCAAAAUAGUCUCAAAUUUUUUCUAGUUUCACUGUCAUAUGUAUAUAUAUNUGUGCUGUACAUUUCGUCUCACUUUACUAGUACCAAGUAUUCAAAAACUAGCAAAACAUGCUGUAUGACUGAGAAAUGAAGAGGAAGAUUGGAUGCAUGUGCGAGGGUCUUCUUUACAGGAUUGUUUAUAUUUGUUUGUUUCUUGUUUUUGUCCAUUGUAAAGGAAUAUAUAUUUUAACUGUUGCUCUCUUAUUAUCAUUGUUUAUUAGGGCAAUAUUGGUUUCCCUGGUCCUCAAGGGCCUCCUGGACUGCCUGUAAGUCAAUGCAUGCAAACUUAUGAUCAGCUCAGACAAACACAGAAGAUGUUUAAUUACCUCAGAAAACCAGCCCAUCUUCUCUGAAUGCCAUGCCAGAGAAAUAAAACUUAGCAGAGGUUUGGGCUUACUGAUGAA
ensembl:lncRNA